AAGGAAUGAACAAUUCCAGACAUGCUGC
rnacentral:piRNA from 1 species